UGCUAAACUACAACCCCAGCACAACGGCAC
rnacentral:piRNA from 2 species